UUGAAUAAGUCUAAUAAUAAAGAAACAAAAAAUCCAAGAGGUUAUAUAAAACAUGUUUAAGGCAUUAUCCCAAAAGAUGGCAUAAAUUUAGAUUUUUAAAAGAUAGAUGCAACCUGGCCUUUUGUCUUAGUUCACUGUAAAAGGGUAUGUCCACAUGUAACUUGGGGAUAGGUUUUUGAGAUUAGUGGUAACAUAUAUAAAUGAUUUUAGUAAAAACUCAGGUUAUAGUAGUACAUAUAAAUAUAUUAGCUGUUCAAAUGAAUAUGUGAGCGGAUUUUAUGUGCACAAACAUGUGAAUAAAUAAUGUUACCUAUACGAGCUCUUUGCUAUGAUUUAGGAAUGUCGUUCCUUUCCUGUCUCAAAAAAGUAGCUAAACAAUGUAUUUAUCCUGAUUUCUAUUUUAUCUUGGUUUGUAAAAUAAACCAUUUCAAAAACUAAAGGUAUAUUUCGACUCACAGGACCUGUAUUUGCAUACCUUUGCAUAAAUAGAUACAUACACAUAGGCAAUACUCAAGGGAAGAAAUACAUGUAUAUCUCUAUGUAUUUGAAUCCAACUUCAGAUAUGUAUGUUCUACCUUACCAAAAGAUAUACUGGGAAUUUUUUAAUAGUUCUAAUUCUUUCCUUUAGGUUUUGCUACAAGAUUCCUUAAAUUGCGUCUUAUGUCUGAGAUCACACAUAAGGGAAAGAGCAUGUGUAAAACUGAUUUCAAAUCACAUCAAGCUACUUGGUUGCCACUAGAAAGCUAAAAAGCAUGGACCUGCUAUAAAUAUUUAGGUUUUCCUUGUUAAUAAAUGCUCCAAGGCAACUGGGAAGAGAUAUGGAAAUCUGAAACUACAAUGAUAAAAAUCUUAAAGAAUCAUCUAUUCCAACUAGGUAAGAGUAGGAACCACUGAAGAAAUCCCAUUCUAUGACUAGGCUACCCUGUUCAAUAAUGGCUAUGUUUGACAAUUUUUUUUUCCCCACAAAUCGUUCAUUUUAUAUAACGAUUCACAGUUUGUAUGCCAUUCAUAUGUAUAUAAAAUCAUCUAAUCUUGACAAAACCUAUGAGAAAAAUGUGGCACAAUCACGGGCACAGAAAUAAUGUGACUUACACAAAGCUACUAAGCUAUGAAUGGUAAAACUGAGAUACCCAAGUCUCCUGCCCCUAAAUGUAUCUUUAUUGUCUCCCACCUGAUCUGCAGGACUGAAUUCCACUUUCCCUGACAAGUCCCAUUUCUUGCAGCACAAUGUCCCCUUGUACACCUAACUGGAAUUCUUCCUUAGGUGGUUUAUCAAAUCCUCUCUAGUCAAUUCCCUACUCUGUAGCUAGAGGUAUCUUCCCAAAUUUAAACCAGGAAGUCUUCUAUGUAAGACCAGCAACUGUUGUUCACUGUUUCUAGAUAAGGAACAGACUUUUUACCAAGGUCUUUAAAGAAUGAGUGACCUCAUCCCUUCCUACCUUUUCAGGUUUAGAGCAGAUUUUGUGAUCAUUGACAGGCUUUUUGUUUUUCUUAAGCACCAUGCUUGCUCACCCUAGAUCCCUCUCGACCCCUUUUCACCUAGUCAAUGUAUAUUCUUUCUUACUUUCAGGCAAGCCUUCCCUUCUCUUCCCUUACUAAGUAAAUCAAAUGCUCCUACUAUAUACUCUUUCUCAUGGCACCAUAUACCUCUACUUCUUUGAAGUUACCAUCGUUGCAGUUUACAUUUAUUUAUGUAAUUACUUGGUUAAUGUCUGCCUUUUCCAUCAGACUGUCGGUGCCAUAAAGUGUAAAAAGGAGGUCAGUUUUUCUGUUUUUAGUCACUAUUAUAUCCCCAAUGCUUGGCACAAUUCCCAGCCUGCAAGUAUAUACGUGAUUUAAAAGCUAAGCAAAUAUGGAACUAGGUUAAUUCUUUCCAUCUUUAAAUAUUUGAAAAGUUAUUAUUCUAAUAAUUUCUCUACAUUACACACACAAAAGUUAUGUUAAAAAACCAUUCUGAUUCUUCAAAAUAUUUUUUAUGAUAAAGUUCCCAGAUACCUCUUAAAACCUGGAAACCAUAAAUGAAUACAAUGUUAUCUUCUCAUCAGUACAGAGACUGCUCUUCCCCAUUCCAAGUACUUCACUUCUAUUAAAACAGUCUACACUUGUGUUUUCAGUUUGUGCUGAUAGAGCAAUAUCUGAGACUGGGUAAUUUACAAAGAACAAAAACUAAUAUCUUACAAUUCUUGGCUGGAAGUCAAGGUGUCGCCAGGUUUGGUUGUCUGGUGAGGGCUGCAUCCUCCAGAGUAGAGGAAAACUGUGUCCUCACAUGGCAGAAGAAGGAGCUCCCGAAGGCUGUGAAAGUUGCUUUUAUAGGGGUCUUACUCCCAUUCACAAGGGAAGGAGCCCUCAUGACCUUAUGACCUCUUAAAGAUCCUGCGCUCUAAUAGUAUCACAUUGGCCCUUAAGUUUUCAAAUCUCACUUUUGGGGAAGACACAUUCAAACUCUGGCACUGUGGGACAUGGCAGUGACAGUUAAACCACAACUACCCAGGUCUCUUCAUAUGAACUUCUUUUAAAACACAUCCACUUGAUUCGUGGCUAGUUUGAUAAUUUGACAAACCUAUAUGCAAAAUUUUAAUCAUUAUUACAGACCAUCUUAGUUUCAGCCAAUCAUUUCAGAUGACUAAGCUUUUUCAACCCUAAUUCCCUGAGCCAAACUAUUAGCUUUUGCUCCCAGCUUUAUGUGAUAUGCAAAAUGUGAUGUGCCUGUUUAAUCCAAGUCCGUGAUAACAAUGAUUAAUAGAACAGAGUGAAAAAAACGACCAUGCCAUGUCACUAGAAAUACCUUUCUCCAAGCUGACAUCAAAUGAUUCAUCAAAUUAUUUCAAUCAUCCACUAAUUUACCCGGCCCAAUAACCCAACUCCUAAUUUGGCCAUCUAUUAAAUAUUUCAUAAACAUAUCAUGAGACACUUUGCCUGAAACAUUGCUAAAUUCAAUUUACUCAACCUACAUGGGGAAAAAAAAAUCACAUGUUUAACAUGACACACUCCCAGUGAGCCCAUGUGGUCCCUUGAAGACUGCUCCUUUUCUAGGUAAGUCCUCACAAGUAUCUGUCUAAUAAUCAGUUAAUGAAUUGUCCAAAGGGCCAGGUGCGGUGGCUCACACCUAUAAUCCCAGCACUUUGGGAGGCUGAGGCAGGCAGAUCACAAAGUCAAGAGAUUGAGACCAUCCUGACCAACAUGGUGAAACCCCACCUACACGAAAAAUACAAAAAUUAUCCGAGCAUGGUGGCAGACACCUAUAGUCCAGCUACCUGAGGGGCUGAAAGAGGAGAACCACUUGAACCCAGUAGGCAGAGGUUGCAAUGAGCAGAGAUGGUGCCACUGCACUCCAGCCUGACAACAGUGCAAGACUCCAACUUAACAACAACAAAAAAGGAAUUGUCCCAAGGAUAAACAUAAAACCCACUAAUCUUAUAAUAGCAGAAUUCUACCUUUCCUCUCUUUUUUGAAAAUAAAAACAGUAUCUGCAUGAUCUUUAGUCUUCUGGCAUCUCUGUUACUGGUCAUAAUGGUUCAAAGAUUACCUAACCAUUCAUAUCUGCAAGUCAUUUAAUCCUAGGACAUUAACCAGUUGAGAGCAAAAAAGUGUUUUCUCAUCAUUGCUUUGCCUUCCUUAACUUUAAUUCCCUUGCCACUGUCAUUAGUCAUCUUUACUGAACUUGAAUAUCAUUUUCUUUUGAUAGAGAAAUUAAAAACCCAGGAGUUCCAUAACUCUGCCUUCACUCCACUAUCCAGUAUUACAUCUGUCUCAAUCAGUAGUUUAUUCUUUUAUUAUUAUGUUUCUUUCAUGAUCUGAACAUAAUAUGUUCCAGUACUUACUAUCCUUAUAAGCCUCAAUGCAUUUUAGGAUUCAGUUUCCUGUAUGCCAUUCUCUCAGUUUUAUACUACAUUUGUAUUUGUGUCCCAACCUCUUCUUACUUAUGAGACUAAUUUUGCUUAUAUAGUCACUAUUUCACUUUAAGGAACUCCACGCAUUCAUUCAUUCAAUGAAUGUUUUACUGAUGGCCAUCUACAUGCAAUUUACUAAACUAAAGCAUACAAAGAUACCUAAGAUCUAUCUGGUCCCUGUCUUCAAGGAAUCUAGACAGAAAUAUAGGCUGCUAGGUGGAAUUGUAGGCUUCUAUAAUACCAAGAUAAAAAUAAGUGCUGUGUGAGCAGAGUACAGAGCAACUAGCUCAAGCAUGAAAUAGCUGCUUAAGUCUUCAUCAAGGAAACGACAUCUGAAUUGAGUCGUGAGGAAGCAGCCAUUAGAAGACUGGAAGUAUCCUAGGGAACAGCAUGUGCAAAGGUAUGGCAAUAUGAAAAAGUACAUUGUUUUCAUACAGGAAUGAUGGGCUUCAUGCAGCUAGGACUUAAGGUGCAUGAAGUGUAAUUUCAAGAGACAGCUUAGAAAUACGGGGUCAGUUAUAAAAAAAAAAAAAGGCCUUGUAAUAUAAGUCUCCGAUAGAUAGAAUAAAAUAAAAUGAAGCAAAUGCUCUCUAUAGAAUACUAUGCAGCAGUUAGGAGUAGCAAUCCAGAGGUAUGCCCAAUGACAUAGACAGAUCUUUAAAACAGUGCUGAGGUCAAAAUAAAAAAAUGUCUACAGCAUAACACAAGCAUGCAAAUUUAAAAUACAUGCAACUCCAGUAUUUGUCUGUACACAAAAUAAAUCUACAUGUUUUACAAGGGCACAAACAAAUAAAAGGAUUCAGAUCAGAAACAUCAGAAUUUACCUAUCGAGUAGAAGAGUAAUGAGGGUAGGAAAUAGAAACAAAGUGUUUUUUUUUAAACAGACAUACACUUGUUUCAUGACACAAAAAUCUGUAUGUUUUCCUACAGUUGACAAAGGUUUUAAAGUCUGGGAAUGGCAAAAUCUAAUGCAGCUUUUAGGAAUAAAGUUUGGCACAGUGUAAAGAAUAUAGUCCUAUAGUUAUAGUUUCUUCUUGAGUCAAUGAACCUGGGUUCAUUACCCUUUUUCUACAUAUGCUUGAUAGAUCUUAUUAUUCUGUAAGAAAAGGGUAAGUAUAAGACUAAACUGCCAGUAAGUAAAGAUGGGUGUAGAAAUUUUGGUAGUAGAAGAAAGUAAAGACAAGAGCUGAGAGGGAAUAAGUAGCUGCAGAUAAAAGUGGCAUCUUAAAACUCAAAUUUGAUUAUCUGCCAAGAAUAGUAUUGAAAACAUUCCUGCUUUGCAACAGACACUGAACUAAAUAAAUGCUAAGAAUUUCACCAAAUUUAAGAUCUGUUCAUUUUCUUAUAAGUGUGCCAAAGGGAGAGCAACAAGAAAUUAAAACAAAGCCUCUCUGAGUAUGUCUUGGGAGCUCAGAGUAAAGAUCUCUGGAAUAAACUCACACACGCCCUAUCACUUGAGAGAUGAAUCUUGCAUUACACCAAGAACUGCUUCAUCUGUACAAACAGACUUUCUAUAGAACUGUAACUGAACACUACAGGCAAUGAGCCAACACUUUUAAAUUUCAUCAAGCUCUAGUGCCAGGUGACAACUGUUUGCUGUGACAUGAUUUAUGCAACACAUUUCAUCUAGUUAUCUCAGAAUCAAAGGAAUUUUACCAAAGGGUUCUUAUUCAAAUAAACAGGAAGAAUUUCUACCCCAAUCACAUCUGUGAAAAGUAGAAGACACGUGGUAAGUUUCAGGAAAAGAUCCUACUGAUUAAAUUCUGAGAAUAAAGGACUGGAACACGUAAAAUUGGCACACUAACUGGGCACUCCUCUAUCAUGAAGACGCUGUUUUACAUUUGGAUGCAGUGAGCUAACUAAAAAGCUACCUGAAUCAAAAUAAAUUUUAUGAAUAAUAAGUGAAAGUAUACAUAACAUAAAACAACACUUAUUUAUAUAACUUUACAUUUCUAUAGACAUACUCAUGAGGGUCAGAUUUUUUUGUUUUGCUCUUCCCUUUUUGUUCUGUAUGUCAGUAAUUUCAUAGGAAUUCUUUUCCUUCUCCAUCUUCUCUUGAAGUAUCACUUCAGCCCCUAGUUAUUUCAUCCUACUACAUUCUUAUCCAUUUUACUCAGAAUAAAUUAUAGUUUGAAAGAAGGUAGAAUUUAAAAGAGGAAAGCUUCCAGCAAAGUUCUUUACCUAAAGAAGGUUAUGUAUGUUAUCCAUGAAUGGUGAGAGUAUGGGUGUAGUUCCUUUUCUCUUCAUAAUACUUGUGUUGCUUUUAUAAUCAAGGAAAAGAGUUUUAAAUACUGAUAUAGUGAUAUGACGGAGAAAAAAAAUUUAUCAUAACAAAUGUUCAACUUCAAAAGAUGGUUGGUUACAUAUCAAAGGACUCUGGUCAGGGAUCUUCCUCUUGCCUUCUACCAUUACUCAGGCUUACAACCCAACUUAGAUAUGAAUACACGAAUUCAUCAGCUUUAUCAUAGCGAAUGUGACCAAUUAGAUGAUGGAAGGGGAAGGCAGGGGCCAGUAAAACCUAAAAGUUGCAUAUCAGGUACUUAGAAAAGAUAAUAAAUCUAUUCUGGGCUCUACAAAUUAAAUUAUACUAAAAUGCUCAAUUUUUUUUGAGAUGUAAAUUAAAUCAGCACCAAUUGGAGAACACAAAUACUCUUACUCCUGAAUCUACACAUAGAUUAUUAAAUAAUCUAAUAUUUUAAUAUCACAUAAUAGAUUUCAUAUUAUUUUUAAAAAGUCCUUGUUCCAUAAAACAAUUAUCACCCUGAUAUUUGCCCAGUUUUCCUCUACCUUAUACUAAUCAAAUAAAUAAGAUAAACCAACAUUUUAAAAAAUAUAAUUUUCAAUGUUUAAUUUUACUUUUCUUAGCACUAAACUUGAAAUUGAUAAACUCAGUGGUUGUAAAACCUUAUACAUAUCACUUAGCUCAUUUUUGUCUACUUUAAAUGAAGCAGGAUUUCACAGACGCAUAGAGCUAGUACCUUACCUCCCUUAACCCCAUCCCAACCCCAUUCCAGGUUUAGUUAUAGGCUACACAUGCCCACUAUCAAAAAAAGCUUCUAAACACUGUUAACGAUUUUCUUGACAUUUCCAAGUACACAUGCUUCUAUUUCUACAGUAAGAAAAGACAAUGUUUCCCUAAUCGCUUAACCAAUUUCCUAACAAACAACACAUUUUCAUUACAUGUGCAAAAGAAAACUAUAAACGUCUCUCAAUACUUCUCCUGUAUUCUUACUCUAACGUAUUUAAUGUUCUCACAGAUUAUUUUUCUUAUGACAGAUUAUCAAAAUUUAUAAAAUCUGACAAUUCUUAGUACAUUUUUAACAUUCAUUGCUGAGAUUCUAUUUAUUUUUUUAUCUUCAUUAACAUUUAAAAUAUUUAUUUAAUAUAAUAUUUAUUUAAAUUAGAUUGACAAAAUAUAUGUUGCAAACGUUUAUAAAGCUCUUAAGACAGCAACAGACCUUGGCCGAAAGGGUCGUAGACAUGGCGGCGAUCAGGAUGGGAAAACUGACAACCGUGCCUACAGGUCUGAUUUAUGCAUCUGUAAGUGUACAUGCAACCAAAGAAGAGGAAUCCAAAAAGCAGCUAGUGAAACCAGAGCAGCUCCCCAUAUAUACAGCACCACCGCUCCAGUCUAAAUAUGUUGAAGAGCAGCCUGGUCAUUUACAAAUGGGCUUUGCUUCUGUCCGCACUGCAACUGGUCGUUAUGUUAGCUGGUGCAAAGGUGUUUAUGUCUUUGUGAAAAAUGGGAUAAUGGAUACAGUACAAUUUGGAAAAGAUGCUUAUGUCUAUCUGAAGAAUCCUCCUCAAGAUUUUCUUCCGAAAAUGGGAGUUAUUACAGUUUCAGGAUUGGUGGGCUUGGUUUCAGCGAGAAAAGGUUCUAAGUUUAAGAAAAUUACUUAUCCUCUGGGACUGGCCACUUUAGGAGCAACUGUUUGCUACCCAGUUCAGUCGGUAAUAAUUGCUAAGGUAACAGGGAAAAAUAUAUAUGCUACAAGCCAGCAAAUUUUUGAAACAGUUAAAUCACCGUGGACAAAAAGCAACAAAAAGGAGUCACUUCCUCAACCUAAGGAAAAAACUAAGCUAGGAUCCUCUGCCCAAAUAGAAGUAUCUGGAAAAACAACUCACGUCUUGAAACAACAUUCAUUGCCUUUGCCAACAUAACUCAGCUCUGAAGCAGAGACCAAAUCAGUGUCCACCUCAGGUGCUACACAGUUUAUGCUUGACCCCAAGCUCAUGGAUCAUGGGCAGUCCCACCCAGAAGAUAUAGAUAUGUACAGCACUAGAAGCUGAAGUAGACUGCAUAGAGAGACUACAUAGAAAACUACAAGAUGUGUGAAGUUGCAAAUAAUGGUGAAAAAAAUCAUGUAAUGGGUAACUGAUACAUAGAGUAUUACCUAAAACAAGUUUUCCCCUUACAUCUCCAAAUGUGCAAUUUGAUAAAUUACAUAAGUGGUUAACACAGAAACUGUGAAUGCAAUGCAAACGAUAUUAAA